CCUACGGGAGGCAGCAGUGGGGAAUAUUGCGCAAUGGGCGAAAGCCUGACGCAGCGACGCCGCGUGAGGGAUGAAGGUCUUCGGAUCGUAAACCUCUGUCAGCAGGGAAGAACGGUCACUGUGCUAAUCAGCAGUGAAUUGACGGUACCUGCAAAGGAAGCACCGGCUAACUCCGUGCCAGCAGCCGCGGUAAUACGGAGGAUGCGAGCGUUAUCCGGAUUUAUUGGGUUUAAAGGGUGCGUAGGCGGGAUGCCAAGUCAGCGGUCAAAUACGGGGGCUCAACCUGCGUCCGCCGUUGAAACUGGCGUUCUUGAGUGGGCGAGGGGUACGCGGAAUGCGUGGUGUAGCGGUGAAAUGCAUAGAUAUCACGCAGAACCCCGAUUGCGAAGGCAGCGUACCGGCGCCCAACUGACGCUGAAGCACGAAAGCGUGGGUAUCGAACAGGAUUAGAUACCCUUGUAGUC
rnacentral:rRNA from 1 species